rnacentral:lncRNA from 1 species
AUUGUGCAGGUGUCAUAUGCUAUCGGUGUACCUGAGCCGUUGUCUGUGUUUGUGGACUCGUAUGGAACUGGGAAGAUCGCGGACAAGGAGAUACUAAGCAUUGUGAAGGAGAAGUUUGACUUCAGGCCGGGGAUGAUGACCAUCAACCUGGAUCUGAAGAGGGGUGGGAAUGGAAGGUACUUGAAGACUGCAGCAUACGGGCAUUUCGGAAGGGACGACCCAGACUUCACCUGGGAGGUGGUUAAGCCCCUCAAGGCUGCUGACAAGCCCCAAGCUUAAGCUUAAGCUUAAGAAGAAGAAAGAGCAUUUCGUUGCGCAUUGUCCCCUUAGGAGUAAUAAUUUGUGUUAUGUUGUGUUUUAUAUGCGAUAUCUGUCAUUAAUGGGUUAUUAAGUUACGGAGAAGAUACCUUUGUUUCAUUAUUGUAAUAUUUUGUAUUGUUUUCUUGAAAUUGUUACUUCUUCUGUAAUAUUAUGAUUUGGGAGUUGGGGGCAUACAAUGUGUAAUGUUUAUUUCGAGUGAUGCUGCUACACUGCCAAUUUUGCUUCUUCGGGGCUUUUGUAUUAAGAGUACAUUUUGUCGGUGUAUCAUCAAAAACUGAUUUGAUGAAUGCCUGUGAUUCCGUUGAU